AUAAAAUAUGGUUUAAGAAAUUGAAAAUGAUAAUAUAAUUAUUUAAAAGUGAUGUAAAUUUUAAAUUCAGAGUAUAGCAAGGGAUCUAUUAGUUUUACUAUGAUGUGUGUCAAAUAAUUAUUAUUAAAGAAAAAUAUAUGUAAUGCCUAUAUGUAAUUAUUUUACCAUAAUAUGGCAUAUACAUAUAUUGUUGACAAAGCAUCACUAUCAAUUGAAUUCCGAAAUCGUUUUUUCGUUAGAAAUGGUUUAUCGUAUGCUUACAAAUAGACAUUAAAUUUCCCAUCUACUACCUUCCCAACUACUCACCAAAAAACAGUAGAUGCACCCACGUGCGAAGUAUGUCCGUCUUUUUUAAUGCAAUUAUUUUUAGUCGUAGCUUUUUUUUUUUUUAUGCUGUGUACAUAAAUUCUAUUGAAAAUCUUGCUCCGAUGACAAGUAAAUUAUCUUUUCUGAAAGGAAAUUUGAUCUAGUUGGUACUUUAAAGAGGUCAUUUUUCGAUUUUCCCAGAAGUUUUCAAAUUAAUUGAGAAAAAUUGGAAAAUAACGUAGGAAAACGAAAGAAUUUACAAUAACAAUCCUUUGAUUAUUUUCAAUUUUGAUUUUUUG